rnacentral:rRNA from 1 species
UACAGAGGUCUCAAGCGUUGUUCGGAUUCAUUGGGCGUAAAGGGUGUGUAGGUGGCGCGCUAAGUCGGGUGUGAAAUUUCGGAGCUUAACUCCGAAACUGCAUUCGAUACUGGCGUGCUUGAGGACUGGAGAGGAGACUGGAAUUCAUGGUGUAGCAGUGAAAUGCGUAGAGAUCAUGAGGAAGACCAGUGGCGAAGGCGGGUCUCUGGGCCGAAACUGACGCUGAGGAGCGAAAGCGUGGGGAGCGAACAGG